rnacentral:lncRNA from 1 species
CAGCACUCAGGAGGAAGCAGAGGUAGGCCAAUCUCUGUGAGGUUGAGGCCAGCCUGGUCUACAGAGCAAGUUCCAGUACAGGCUCCAAAGCUCCAAAGCAAUACAGAGAAACCCUGUCUCAAAAACAAACAAACAAACAAACAAACAAACAAACAAAACAAAACAAAAAAACAACUCAACCAAAGAAAUGGGAAUAAGAAACAGUGUUGGGAGGGGUGACACAGGAUUCCCAUGGAGAAAUCGGAUUGCCUCUCCACAACGCAGGAAAAGAGCCAAGCCUGUUGAAGUGCUUGCAGAGGGUGGAGGAAAUACAGUCGCAGAACUGAAAAGAGUGCCUCUGUUGUAUUUUGUUAAGAAUGUGUUUGUAUAGAUAUUUGUGUUUUCUUUCAGUUCUUUACCAUGUGUUGUAACAUGAAUCAAGAGAAUGUCAAUGAUUAUUAUAUGGGAGUUGCCGAUGCUAGAAGGAUGUCUCCCAAGAACAUUACAGCUACUCGAGAUUUAGAAUUCAUUUGUGGUGGUACAAGGGAUAGUUAUAUUAUGUCUAGGUGUUAUUAUGACAUGGUUAUUGUUUUUUUCAUUUGGAAAUUAAUCAUGACAUAAGGAUAUAUGAUCGUGUGUCAAAUUGACAAGGGGUGGAUUGUGAUGGCUAGUCUUGGUUGUCAACUUGACUGUAUCUGGAAUGAACUACGAUUCAGAAGCAGAGGGUACUCUUGUGAUCCGGAUCUUGAGGCAGGAAGACAACAUGCCUUUGAUCUGGAUCUUGAUGCUGGAUGACACAUGCCUUUAAUCCAGACACUGAGGCAGGAAGGCACACCUUUAAUCUGGGCCCCACCUUCUAUUGGAAGCCUGUAUAAGGACAAUGGAAGAGGAAAGGGUGUGUUCUUUGCCUGUUUGCCCUCACCUCAGUCAGCACGUUCAUUUCAUUCUUCGAGAUCCCAGCAGACCAGCUGAGACACCCAGCCUUGUGGGGCUGAGCAGCUACUAUAUUCUUGGACUUUCCAC